GACGGGGGAUGCGAGCGUUAUCCGGAAUGAUUGGGCGUAAAGGGUCCGCAGGUGGCCCGGUCAGUCCGCUGUCAAAGCCUGGGGCUCAACCCUGGAGAGGCGGCGGAGACCACCGGGCUAGAGUACGGUAGGGGCAGAGGGAAUUCCCGGUGUAGCGGUGAAAUGCGUAGAGAUCGGGAAGAACACCAACGGCGAAAGCACUCUGCUGGGCCGAAACUGACACUGAGAGACGAAAGCUAGGGGAGCAAAUGGG
rnacentral:rRNA from 1 species